GACAGAGGUGCCAAGCGUUAGGCGGAAUCACUGGGCUUAAAGCGUGUGUAGGCGGAUGCCUAAGUACCUUGUGAAAUCCCCCGGCUCAACCGGGGAACUGCUGGAUAUACUGGGUGUCUUGGGUCAUCUAGGGGCUGCCGGAACAAAUGGUGGAGCGGUGAAAUGCGUAGAUAUCAUUUGGAACGCCAACGGCGAAAGCAGGCAGCUGGGGAUGCACCGACGCUGAGACACGAAAGCCAGGGGAGCGAACGGG
rnacentral:rRNA from 1 species